rnacentral:rRNA from 1 species
GUUGGUCCCAAGGGUUAGGCUGUUCGCCUAUUAAAGCGGUACGCGAGCUGGGUUUAGAACGUCGUGAGACAGUUCGGUCCCUAUCCGCUGCGCGCGUUGGAUAUUUGAGAAGUCCUGUCCCUAGUACGAGAGGACCGGGAUGGACUGACCUCUGGUGUGCCAGUUGUUCUGCCAAGGGCAUGGCUGGUUGGCUACGUCGGGAAGGGAUAACCGCUGAAAGCAUCUAAGCGGGAAGCCUGCUUCGAGAUGAGAUAUCCUUGCACCCUUGAGGUGUGUGAGGCCCCCAGUAGAUGACUGGGUUGAUAGGCCAGAUGUGGAAGCACAGUAAUGUGUGGAGCUGACUGGUACUAAUGGCCGAUGACUUACAACAAUAUUCU